rnacentral:rRNA from 1 species
CAGCCGCCGCGGUAAUACAGAGGAUGCAAGCGUUAUCCGGAAUGAUUGGGCGUAAAGCGUCUGUAGGUGGCUUUUCAAGUCCGCCGUCAAAUCCCAGGGCUAAACCCUGGACAGGCGGUGGAAACUACAAAGCUGGAGUACGGUAGGGGCAGAGGGAAUUUCCGGUGGAGCGGUGAAAUGCGUUGAGAUCGGAAAGAACACCAACGGCGAAAGCACUCAGCUGGGCCGACACUGACACUGAGAGACGAAAGCUAGGGGAGCAAAUGGGAUUAGAUACCCCAGUAGUCCCUGUCUCUUAUAA